AGAGUUUGAUUAUGGCUCAGGAUGAACGCUGGCGGCGUGCUUAACACAUGCAAGUCGAACGAAGCACUCUAUUUGAUUUUCUUCGGAAAUGAAGAUUUUGUGACUGAGUGGCGGACGGGUGAGUAACGCGUGGGUAACCUGCCUCAUACAGGGGGAUAACAGUUGGAAACGACUGCUAAUACCGCAUAAGCGCACAGGAUCGCAUGAUCCGGUGUGAAAAACUCCGGUGGUAUGGGAUGGACCCGCGUCUGAUUAGCUAGUUGGCAGGGUAACGGCCUACCAAAGCGACGAUCAGUAGCCGACCUGAGAGGGUGACCGGCCACAUUGGGACUGAGACACGGCCCAA
rnacentral:rRNA from 1 species